CGUAGGCAGCAAGCGUUGUUCGGAAUUACUGGGCGUAAAGAGUGUGUAGGCGGUGCUCUAAGUCUGUUGUGAAAUCUCCCGGCUUAACUGGGAGGGUGCGGCGGAGACUGGAGUGCUAGAGUGUGGGAGAGGUAAGCGGAAUUCCUGGUGUAGCGGUGAAAUGCGUAGAUAUCAGGAGGAACACCUGUGGUGUAGACAGCUUACUGGACCACGACUGACGCUGAGACACGAAAGCGUGGGUAGCAAACAGG
rnacentral:rRNA from 1 species